AACGAACGCUGGCGGCGCGCCUAAUACAUGCAAGUCGAGCGAGAAGACGUAGCAAUACGUUUGUAAAGCGGCGAACGGGUGAGGAAUACAUGGGUAACCUACCCUCGAGUGGGGAAUAACUAGCCGAAAGGUUAGCUAAUACCGCGUACGCUCCUUGGACUUCGGUUCAGGGAGGAAAGCGAUACCGUGGGUAUCGCGCUCUUGGAUGGGCUCAUGUCCUAUCAGCUUGUUGGUGAGGAACGGCUCACCAAGGCUUCGACGGGUAGCUGGUCUGAGAGGACGAUCAGCCACACUGGCACUGCGACACGGGCCAGACUCCUACGGGGGGCAGCAGUGGGGAAUCUUGGACAAUGGGCGCAAGCCUGAUCCAAG
rnacentral:rRNA from 1 species